AACCGCGGACAGCUCAUUAUAUCAGUAGUAAUCCGCAAGACUCGUAUCUUUAAUGGAUACCUGUAGCAAAUCUAGAGCUAAUACGCUUUCAAGUUUCGUUACGCUAUAUUUAAUAAAGCGUGCGGACAGCACUUAUUAGAACCGUAUACCCGAGGUAUAUCAAGGUGACUCUGGAUAUUCAGUUGCUAAGCGCUAUGGUCAAGUACCAUCGCUAGUUUAUGCGAGCUUCUGCCCUAUCAGCCAGAUGGUUAGAUAAAGGCUAACAAUGGCUUUGACGGGUAACGGGGAAUCUGGGUUCGAUUCCCGAAAGGGAGCCCGAUAAACGGCUACCACAUUCAAGGAAGGCGGCAGGCGCGGAAAUUAACCUAACACCAGCUCUGUGAGUUAGUGACCAAAAAUCUUGAUGUGAGGUUCUUAACGGAGCCCUCAAUUGGGGGGAUCGGGGGGGCC
rnacentral:rRNA from 1 species